rnacentral:rRNA from 1 species
UACGUAGGGGGCGAGCGUUGUCCGGAAUUAUUGGGCGUAAAGCGCGCGCAGGCGGUCCUUUAAGUCUGAUGUGAAAGCCCACGGCUCAACCGUGGAGGGUCAUUGGAAACUGGGGGACUUGAGUACAGAAGAGAAGAGUGGAAUUCCACGUGUAGCGGUGAAAUGCGUAGAGAUGUGGAGGAACACCAGUGGCGAAGGCGACUCUUUGGUCUGUAACUGACGCUGAGGCACGAAAGUGCGGGGAUCAAACAGG